rnacentral:tmRNA from 1 species
GGGGGCGACCGGUUUCGAUUAUGUGGGUGGCUUCAUGGCUGCGCGCCCAGGUCCUCGGGUCCCUGGUAAAACCCUCGGGAACUGUACAACUGCGAACAACAAAUUCGCUCUCGCUGCGUAAGGCCUAGCCUUACCCCAGCAGUGCCCACCGCGUAGCCCGCCCGGGGCGACCGAUGGGUAUCGCAAAUCCGGGCUGGUCCGACGGUGCGUUCACCAUCGAAGGACGAGAUUCUAGUGGACUCAUUCGACCGUGGGCGGCCUGUCGGCCAGCGGUCGGAGACAUCAAUCGACAGGAUACGCGCGUAGACGCUGUGGAAGAUCUCAUGUAAGACGGGAGUUCGAAUCUCCCCGCCUCCACUC